AUGGCUUACCAAGGCGACGACGGGUAGCCGGCCUGAGAGGGUGACCGGCCACACUGGGACUGAGACACGGCCCAGACUCCUACGGGAGGCAGCAGUGGGGAAUAUUGCACAAUGGGCGCAAGCCUGAUGCAGCGACGCCGCGUGAGGGAUGACGGCCUUCGGGUUGUAAACCUCUUUCAGUAGGGAAGAAGCGAAAGUGACGGUACCUGCAGAAGAAGCGCCGGCUAACUACGUGCCAGCAGCCGCGGUAAUACGUAGGGCGCAAGCGUUAUCCGGAAUUAUUGGCGCGUAAAGAGCUCGUAGGCGGUUUGUCGCGUCUGCCGUGAAAGUCCGGGGCUCAACUCCGGAUCUGCGGUGGGUACGGGCAGACUAGAGUGAUGUAGGGGAGACUGGAAUUCCUGGUGUAGCGGUGAAAUGCGCAGAUAUCAGGAGGAACACCGAUGGCGAAGGCAGGUCUCCUGGGCAUUAACUGACGCUGAGGAGCGAAAGCAUGGGGAGCGAACAGGAUUAGAUACCCUGGUAGUCCAUGCCGUAAACGUUGGGCACUAGGUGUGGGGGACAUUCCACGUUUUCCGCGCCGUAGCUAACGCAUUAAGUGCCCCGCCUGGGGAGUACGGCCGCAAGGCUAAAACUCAAAGGAAUUGACGGGGGCCCGCACAAGCGGCGGAGCAUGCGGAUUAAUUCGAUGCAACGCGAAGAACCUUACCAAGGCUUGACAUGAACCGGUAAUACCUGGAGACAGGUGCCCCGCUUGCGGUCGGUUUACAGGGGGGUGCAUGGUUGUCGUCAGCUCGUGUCGUGAGAUGUUGGGUUAAGUCCCGCAACGAGCGCAACCCUCGUUCUAUGUUGCCAGCACGUGAUGGUGGGGACUCAUAGGAGACUGCCGGGGUCAACUCGGAGGAAGGUGGGGACGACGUCAAAUCAUCAUGCCCCUUAUGUCUUGGGCUUCACGCAUGCUACAAUGGCCGGUACAAAGGGUUGCGAUACUGUGAGGUGGAGCUAAUCCCAAAAAGCCGGUCUCAGUUCGGAUUGGGGUCUGCAACUCGACCCC
rnacentral:rRNA from 1 species